UUGGGUCUCCGCAGCAGCCAAAAUCCGAGCGCACCGAGCGGCGCUGCUGAAAGAAGUUGGAGAGCUCCCAGCUUGACAAGAAUUUGCGGUGGGCGCCAGAGAAUUCCUUCCCGCGCAGCAAUUAGGAAAAGUUUUGAAAAGUAAAGACCCUGCACAGAUAAAUGGGACUCAUCCUUUUCCCGGAGUAAGAAUCACCCCGCGCUGCGCUGGACGGCUGCGCACACAAGGCCAUCCGCCUCGCUUGGCCGGGACGCGCCCGGUGUCUUCCAGCUCCCCACCACCCCAGUGCGCGGCCUCAGGGCACGGAGCCAGCCAGACAGCCCAGUUGGGAUACCUGGUCCACAGGAAGAUGCCUCCCGGCUCCCUGGCUUGGGGGACAAGGUCAGAACCAUCAACUCCUCCGAAGCCUCGGACCUUCUCUUCCAAGCUGGCCCGGGUUUCUCCAAAAGGCGCGCGGCACGGCCCAUGCGCCCCCCGCGCUAGACGACACUCCUCUCUCUACGCUUUCCCCCAAACUCUUCCGGGGAGCCCCCCAAACACAUAGAGCCCCGAAAACUCCCAGGGCAUCCGCCAGUCACCCCUACCCCUGCCUCUCCAACCCUCCUUGUCGCGUUCUUCCCGCCCCGCAAGGCUCUCCUCACGUUUCUGAGGAGUCAGAAGCAAACCACGAGAAAAAUGCCUUCGCAAGGAGCCUCCCUACACCCGCCCUGUCCCUGAAACAAAAGCGCAGGGAGGAGGGAGGUAGGUGGGGAGGCGGAAGGAAGGUUUAGAAAGAGAAGAGAAUGGGGACCGCGGCGAGAAGGAGCUGGGGAGGGGGUCGGGUGGAGAGAGGAGACGGGGCCAGGACCCCGCUCCCAGGUCGCUUACAUGCCCAGGUCGCUGUAGGUGUUGAAGAACUCCAUCUGGUUGCACGCCUGGAUCCAGCCCACGACCCAGGUCCCUGAGAUGAGAAGAGAGUCAGGACCAUGGAGAAAUGUUCCCGGGAGUCCCAGCAUCAGAUCACUUGGCACAACACUGAAGGGAUGCACAACACUGAAGCGUUCUGAGGCCUGCCUGCCAGGAUCCCUGAUCACUGCUUCUGUGGGAAAGGCAUUCGCCGUGGUUCACCCUCAUGGACAUCUUUUCACACGUGAACUCUAUAGGGUUCAAAAGUCUACAGUGGCCUGUGUGCCUGGAAUACCAUGUUGUCAGGAAGAUCGUACCAUAAUCUAGAUAGAAAGACUUGCUCCCAUGGACAUGAGCUCUGUGGCUCAUUUCUAAGGUUUUUGUGGUGUGAAGCACUGUGUCAAACCCUGGCUAUGCUUCAGAGACAUCUGGAAACUUAUUAAAAAUGUGGGACUGGGUUUCAUUCUGGGUAUGGUCUGACUCAGAGGGACUGGAGUGGGGGACAGACAUUUGUACUUCGGAGAGGCCUGAAUGCAUGGUUUGGAGGUAAUCUAUGAUUAUUUGAUAUCUGCACAUGAAGACUUUGCAUGAACUGAGGUGUGCACCUAUUGCUUGGCAUUACAGAAAUGCGCUGGCUCUGGACUAGAGGAUCACGUCCAAGUCCUGGUGCAACUGAAGCGCACAGAGUGUACUUGGUCUAUAUGGAGAACUAAAGGUCUUGGAGAUGUUACUCUUUUCAAUGAAUUUAGAUUACACAGGGCAUGAGGUCACUUCCCAAAACAAGAGAGGCAAAUGAGGUAAACUGGACUGGGGAGUAAGCAAAAAUUUUUUGAGGUAGCUUGGGAAAUUUGGAGCUUGAGAAUCUCUGUGGGCUGUGGGAAGAUUUUAGGAAGUUGAGUAAAAGCAGUCUCUGUAUUUUUGUGAUAUAGUUGCCCUUUUUUUUUUUUUUUUUUUUUUUUUUUUUUUUGUCUUUUUCCUUUUUAUCGGUACCGGAGAUCGAACUCACGACUGCCUGCUUGCAAGGCAGGCGCUUAUGCCGCUGAGCUAAAUCCCCAACCCCCUAGUUGCCCUUUUUGUUACAGCAUCUACAACUUCACUGAAGACCUACAGAAGUUCUCAAUGUUGUUGGGUGUGAAUUUCUGUUCAUUUUGGAUGAGAUGCUUUACUGAAAGACAGCCCAGUGUUAUUCAGAUUACUCAUGUAAAAAUACUGCCCUUGCAAGAUUGUUAAUUUAAAAAUACCUGUUAAAUUGUAUAUAGUCAAAAAGAAAUAGCAGUGAUCAUUAGGUUAGUCUAUUUAUUACAUGUUGUAUAUUGUACCAUAUGGUCUGUCUGUGUUCACAAUACUGAAAGUGAAAAAUGGACUCACAGUUUCUGUGCUCCAGAAAGUCUUUAUGUACAAUUCAGACAUUGCCAGGAAGCUGACUGUAUACAUUUUCAAUAGAAGUCUAUGAUGAUUAAAGCCAUUUAUUCAUUUAUUUAUUUGGUACCUGGGAUCAAACUCAUGACCUCACACUUGCCAGGCAGGCAUUGUGCUACUGAGCUAUAUCCCUGACUGGAACCUCAUAUUUAAGAACCUGGCCAGAUUCAAGUAUCUGAGCUUGAUGAGCCCUUCAAGAGCAUCUAUCUCAUUUUCUAUAUUCUUCUGUUGAAGUACUGAGGCCCACCAGGGGAAAAAAUUUAGCACUGUUGAUGAAAUGUCACCAUUAAAGUAUUUGAUGAUGUGGUCACUAUCUAUAGGUCACUGCUAGAAAUUAUUACAACGUAAAUCCUUCUUAAUAGAUCAAGCGUAAGCUGUCACUGCUGAAGUUUGCAUAAGGAUCAUCUGGUUCAAAUUGCUUAUUUGACUAAUGAGGCACCUGGAGUAUGUUUUAUGUUGUUUACUGCUGAGUCAUGGCUUACAAGUGACUGCAUUAGGCAAGAUUUGGGAUGGCGGUUUAGAAAACAAUAGAACAGCAACUUUGUAUUUUUUUUUUCCCAGAACAGUAUUUAUAAACUGCUGCUCAAAUAUAUUCUUGCCACUUAAAAAAAAUUUUGGCCAAGUAUCUCCAAUUCAGGUGGAAUAAAUGAAGGUGAGCAAUGCACAGACAUAAGAUGUGUAAGUAUGAAGUAUGCUGCAGAUAAGAUUCUUUUCUAGAAAGUUAGUAGGUAUGUAAGCAGACAUGUGUCCCUGUAAGAGAACAAAGAAGUCAACCCCUUCCUGUGAGCCAGCUGGUACGCAGAUUGGGAGACAGGAAGUGUCAAGUGCACCCCUCCCUGCAUAAGCCACUGUCUGAUUUGGAGAAAUGUAGCCUGAGAUGAUAGCUACUCAAGUAAAAAUUAAAAAAAAACCCAACUUGAUAUCUGUGUUGAUUGACUUUGCAGACCUAAAGACGGCUGAGCACCUAUUUAGAGGAUAACGAUAUGCAGAGUACCAACUAUGGGAGAUGUCUUUCUGAAGGUGAUAGCCAUUGUUAAUUCCCUAUUAUCUUAUUUUAAAGUCCUGUAUCAUUUUCAUUGUUUUUAUUCUGUUUUUUUUCUUUGAUUUUAUUAUAUCUGAUGGCAUGGGCAUCUAUUUUGAAGAUAGCAAGAUAUAUUAUGGUAGCCAUUGUUAAUUUCCUAUUACCUUGUUUUGAAGCUCUAUAUUGCUUUCAUUGUUUUGUUUUGAUUGGUUUUAUUCUGUUUGAUUUUAUUCUCUUUAAAAUUAAAAAAAAUAGUUAUGCAAGCAGGCUUUAGAGGCAGACAUGCUAGGUUUGAGUCUCAGAUCCAGCAUUUAAGAACUGUUCUUUACAUUUUUCCAUCUAUAAAAUAUGAAUAAUAAUAGCACUGAUCUCAUAAUUGUGAGGCUAUUUGAUUUUUUUUCAAUUAGUGAGGUAGGAAAUAUUGUGUAAUUAUUAAUUACUUAUAGCAGGGUCAAGCACAUAAGAAGCACUCAAUAAAUGUUAACUGUUACUAUUUUGGAAAACUUGGUGCUGGAAAUUAAAGCUCUGCUUCUUGUUAUUCAAGUCAGAACUGCAUUAGACAAUUUCCUACUCCCUGCUGUAUUUUCUAAAUGUAAAGCACAGUGUCUGAUAUAGCUGGGUUCCCUCCUUGGGUGGUUUCUCUGUUUUUGCCUACGAAUUGUAGGCUGUGCUUUGCUGGUGCUUCUUUCUAAUUUUCAGACUGCUUCAGAGUGAAUCCUAUUUAAUCAGCUUACACAGGCUCAGAAUCCAUUUAUUUGAUCUCAAAUUGGAUGUUUGCCUCUCAGGUCCAAACCAAAACAACAAUGCAAUUUACCUUAUCUGCUUUACAUUUCUGGCUUCCAGGGAGCAGACUUGGCAAGUACUUCAUCUCCCUGGACACUGGGGCACACAGCCCAAUGAGCUUUCUCUGCUGGCCUCAGGAAACUGACCUGGUCUGGAAAAUUUGGAAAAUUUCAGAAGACUAACAAAGCCAUUGCCUCCAUUCAGUCCAUGGUAUUGAUGGGAGGGUGUGUUUACUUGAAAUCCAAUCAUGGCAUUAUAGAUGUAUCUGACAGGAGGUCAGGCUGUUGGCAGGAGGAAAGGCCAUCACCAAAAAGGUCCAUUCAAGGCCUUUUGCCACAGUACCCUUGACAAGCUUUGGCAAAAUCUGUUGUCUGUAUUUUACUGUGACCCUUGUGUUUAUUCCUUAAAGUUUCCUUGAGAGUUCUAUAAAUAAAUAAUAUAAUCC